AUUGAACGCUGGCGGCAGGCCUAACACAUGCAAGUCGAGCGGAUGAAGCGAGCUUGCUCCUGGAUUCAGCGGCGGACGGGUGAGUAAUGCCUAGGAAUCUGCCUGGUUUUGGUGUAUAACGUCCUGAAACGGGCGCUAAUACCGCAUACGUCCUGAUGGUGAAAGUUGGGGAUCUUCGGACCUCUCGCUAUCUGAUGAGCCUAGGGCGGAUUAGCUAGUUGGUGUGGUAAAGGCCUACCAAGGCGACGAUCCGUAACUGGUCUGAGAGGAUGAUCAGUCACACGGGAAGGGAGAAACGGUACAGACGACUAAGGGAGGCAGCAGAGGGGAAUAGUGGACAAUGGGCGAAAGCAUGAUACAGACAUGGCGCGUGUGUGAAGAAGGUCUUGGGAUUGGAAAGAACGUUAAGUGGGGAGGAAGGGCAGUAAGUUAAGACCUAGCUGGUGUGACGGGACCAACAGAAUAAGCACCGGCUAACUACGUG
rnacentral:rRNA from 1 species